UACGUAGGGGCCUAGCGUUGUCCGGAUUUAUUGGGCGUAAAGAGCUCGUAGGCGGUUUGGUAAGUCGGGUGUGAAAUCUCCACGCUCAACGUGGAGGGGCCACUCGAUACUGCCAUGACUCGAGUCCGGUAGAGGAGUGUGGAAUUCCCGGUGUAGCGGUGAAAUGCGCAGAUAUCGGGAGGAACACCCGUAGCGAAGGCGGCACUCUGGGCCGGAACUGACGCUGAGGAGCGAAAGCGUGGGGAGCAAACAGG
rnacentral:rRNA from 1 species